UUUCAAUAUACCUGCUACGCUGUAGCAGCACGUAAAUAUUGGCGUGUGAAAAAAGCCCCCAACCCCAAUAUUAGCAGUGCUGCUUCAGUGUGACGGGAUCAAA